rnacentral:rRNA from 1 species
AGAGUUUGAUCCUGGCUCAGGAUGAACGCUAGCUACAGGCUUAACACAUGCAAGUCGAGGGGAAACGACAUCGAAAGCUUGCUUUUGAUGGGCGUCGACCGGCGCACGGGUGAGUAACGCGUAUCCAACCUGCCCAUCACUUGGGGAUAACCUUGCGAAAGUAAGACUAAUACCCAAUGACGUCUCUAGAAGACAUCUGAAAGGGAUUAAAGAUUUAUCGGUGAUGGAUGGGGAUGCGUCUGAUUAGCUUGUUGGCGGGGUAACGGCCCACCAAGGCUACGAUCAGUAGGGGUUCUGAGAGGAAGGUCCCCCACAUUGGAACUGAGACACGGUCCAAACUCCUACGGGAGGCAGCAGUGAGGAAUAUUGGUCAAUGGACGAGAGUCUGAACCAGCCAAGUAGCGUGCAGGAUGACGGCCCUAUGGGUUGUAAACUGCUUUUAUAAGGGAAUAAAGUUAGUCUCGUGAGACUUUUUGCAUGUACCUUAUGAAUAAGGACCGGCUAAUUCCGUGCCAGCAGCCGCGGUAAUACGGAAGGUCCGGGCGUUAUCCGGAUUUAUUGGGUUUAAAGGGAGCGUAGGCCGGAGAUUAAGCGUGUUGUGAAAUGUAGAUGCUCAACAUCUGCACUGCAGCGCGAACUGGUUUCCUUGAGUACGCACAAAGUGGGCGGAAUUCGUGGUGUAGCGGUGAAAUGCUUAGAUAUCACGAAGAACUCCGAUUGCGAAGGCAGCUCACUGGAGCGCAACUGACGCUGAAGCUCGAAAGUGCGGGUAUCGAACAGGAUUAGAUACCCUGGUAGUCCGCACGGUAAACGAUGGAUGCCCGCUGUUGGUCUGAAUAGGUCAGCGGCCAAGCGAAAGCAUUAAGCAUCCCACCUGGGGAGUACGCCGGCAACGGUGAA